UGUCGUUUAACGUUUAUGUAUUUACAGUUAAAAUCCAGUGGUGCAUCUGUGGAAUUUUAAUAACUAUCUAUCGUCUACAUGCUAUCAUGCAUCUAUGAUUAGUUUACAUUUAUUUAUCUGUCAAAUUUGGUCUGUCAUGCAAAGUUGCGCUUGUCUCCAUUUUAUAAUUGAGGUGUUUCAUUUGGCUUUUGGUGCGUGUUUUUAGACUGUGUUUAAUCUGUUCCUUAAUUAAUACUGUAAGUAAUAUGUCUUUUGCCCAUUUCUACAGAUCGUUCAACAAAUGAGAGGGAGUUAUAUUAAGUUUGGUCAUACUGAAACAACCAUUGUCUACAUUGGGUGUGGUCUUUGGUGAACUAUAUUCUUGAUUUGCUGUUUCGUCUUUAUACAAUUAGUUUUGAACUGAUAAGUGAGAGCAAUUGUAUGUUUAUUUGAAUUCCACUGAAAUAAAACUUUUCUGCAUUGGCAUUACUCUUGGAUUGGUUCGCUUUUCACACCUACAAACUUUGGAACAUUACAGUCUACAGAUAAUUAAGAUCGUUCAACAAAUGAGAGGGAGUUGAAAGUUCAGUUUGGUCGUACUGAAACAACCAUUGUCUUCAUGGGUGUGGUCUUUGGUGAACUACAUUCUUGAUUUGCUGUUUUCGUCUUCGCUUUGCAUCACUGUGCACUUGGUUUUGAACUGAUGAAUGAGAGCAACUGGAUAUUUAUUUGAUUUCCACUGAAAUAAGGAAUUUUAUGCAUUGGCAUUAUUCCUGAAUUUGGUUUGCUUUUCACACCUGCAAACUUUGGAACAUUACAGUCUACAGUUAAUUAAGAUCGACGUUAGAGAAGACAAAGAUG